rnacentral:rRNA from 2 species
AUCGAAUGGGGAGAUUCAUCGUCAGCGGUGCUGGUACGCGCGCGGUUCGCGAUGCCGGAGACCUCGGUCUCGCGGCACGCGUCCGCGUGUUUUUAUUGCCUGGCAUCGUCGGCGUGCACUUCUCCCCUAGUAGGACGUCGCGACCCGUUGGGUGUCGGUCUACGGCCCGGGUGGUAGCCUGUCUCGUGUGCGCCUCACGGUGUCACUGCGAGGCAGACCCCCGGUUGCCCGACCGGCUGCCCGGCGGUACUCUCAAGGUAUCCGGCCGCAAAUAUUCUAACUGCGUCCGGCCCGUCGCAAGCGAGGCAAGUGUAUCCCGAAUGUAAGGAUCUGAUGCCGUCAUCGGGCCUAGCCAGCUGUUGGCCGACGGUGUCCUAGGACUGGCUGUAACAAUUAUGA